AUGGAUGAAAGGCCGGAGCUAAC
rnacentral:piRNA from 1 species